rnacentral:misc_RNA from 1 species
GAUUACAAAAAUUAGAGCUAAUCCAUCGAUUUUAAAGAUUCUUAUUAGACGAAUACCAUUUGGAUUUGGCUUGAAGGGCUUGUUUUCAAUUAGGUUGUCCCAUUGUUUGGCAAUGCAUCACCACUGUGGCACUGCCAGACGAAAAUAACCAAAAAAGUCUCAGGAAGGAGCGAAAAUGAGCGAGUGUAAACAGGACUGCCAAAUUGCAAAGUGCCAGUUACCAUUUCACAAGUUAUACAGCACUUCCCAUUUGUGUCUAUUAUUUUCACCAGCAAGCCUUUCCUACAUUGGUUACUUUACACCUACCAUUUCUGACACGUUUUAAAAGGAAAAGACCUAAUUAGCCCUAUUUGAAAAUUCUAAUAUCUAAAUCUCCUUUCUCUCACUACAAAAUAAAUUGCAUACCUGAUACAUGUACACUAAAAAAAAAAAAUCAAAAAGGUAAUUUUUACUUACAUCAUGGAAAAUGAACUUAUGUUAAUAUGAAUGAGAACACAUGACA